rnacentral:rRNA from 1 species
AGAGUUUGAUCAUGGCUCAGAUUGAACGCUGGCGGAAUGCUUUACACAUGCAAGUCGAACGAUGAACCUUAGCUUGCUAAGGGGAUUAGUGGCGAACGGGUGAGUAAUAUAUCGGAACGUGCCUUGUAAUGGGGGAUAACUAGUCGAAAGAUUAGCUAAUACCGCAUACGCCCUGAGGGGGAAAGUAGGGGAUCUUCGGACCUUACGUUAUAAGAGCGGCCGAUAUCUGAUUAGCUAGUUGGUGGGGUAAUGGCCUACCAAGGCUUCGAUCAGUAGCUGGUCUGAGAGGACGACCAGCCACACUGGAACUGAGACACGGUCCAGACUCCUACGGGAGGCAGCAGUGGGGAAUUUUGGACAAUGGGCGCAAGCCUGAUCCAGCCAUUCCGCGUGAGUGAAGAAGGCCUUCGGGUUGUAAAGCUCUUUCGCAAGGGAAGAAAACUUACACAAUAACACUGUGUGAGGCUGACGGUACCUUGAUAAGAAGCACCGGCUAACUACGUGCCAGCAGCCGCGGUAAUACGUAGGGUGCGAGCGUUAAUCGGAAUUACUGGGCGUAAAGCGUGCGCAGGCGGUUUGGCAAGUCAGAUGUGAAAUCCCCGAGCUCAACUUGGGAACUGCGUUUGAAACUGCCAGACUAGAAUAUGUCAGAGGGGGGUAGAAUUCCACGUGUAGCAGUGAAAUGCGUAGAGAUGUGGAGGAA